ensembl:lncRNA
CGGCGAGCCGGGUGCCGAGCUGCGCGUGCCGGCCACUCCUGCGCGCUCCCGCCUGCCCGCGGCUCCGAGCUACCCGGCACGUUGACGGCCGAGGUCCGAGGGCCAGGGGUCGCAUCCCGCUGCUGGAGCCCGCCGUCCCCAGGACAUCUAGAGAAGCAUUCCAGCUGCCUCUGCCCCAGGAACUUUUCGCAGACCUGGCACGAUCCAGCAGCGGCGGUGGCCGCGGGUUUUCAAAGCAGCUGCGCGGAUCUCGGGGGUGUGUCUGUGUGUUCCUGGAAAAACCACCCACCUCACUGCCUCACCUUUGAGGAAGUUGCUGAGGACUCUGAGCCCAAAGUUUCCCCUAGGGGUUUACACAGUAAAAAGGUAUAGUCAAGAAGCCCACGGAAAACAGUAUGGAGGUUUCUCAGAAAACUAAAAAUAGAAUUACUAUAUGUUUUGCAGUCCCACUCCUGGGCAUAUAUCUGGACAAAACUUUAAUCCAAAAUGAUACAUGCACCCCUGUGUUCAUAGCAGUACUAUUCACAAUAGCUAAGACAUGGAAACAACCUCAGUGUCCAUUGACAGAUGAGUGGGUAAAGAUGUGGUGAGUGAAGUGUGAAAGUUGCUCAGUCAUGUCUGACUCUUUGUGACCCCAUGGACUGUGGAAUUCUCCAGGCCAGAAUACUGGAGUGGAUAGCCUUUCCCUUCUCCAGGGGAUCUUCCCAACCCAGGGAUUGAACCCAGGUCUCCCUCACUGCAAGCAGAUUCUUUACCAGCUGAGCCACAAGAGAAGCCCUAAGACAUAGUACAUAUAUACAAUGGAAUACUACUCAGCCAUAAAAAAGAAUGAAAUAAUGCCAUUUGCAGCAACAUAGAUGCAACUAGAGAUUAUCAUACGAAGUGAAGUAAUUCAGAAAGAGAAAGACAAAUACCAUAUCAUAUCACUUAUAUGUGGAAUUUAAAAUAUGACGCAAAUGAACCUACCUGUGAAAUACAAACAGACCACAAACACAGAGAUCAGACUUGUG